rnacentral:lncRNA from 1 species
AUACUGCCGGAACUGUGGCUAAUGGUGCGGACCACCCUGCUCACUGUUAGCAAAGUGGGUAGCUACCCUCUCUUCUGGAAGCCCCUCUGCAGCACUCCUCUUGGGAGUAGAAAAGGAAGUGGUCAAGGGAAUGGGGUUUCGCCGUGUUGUCCAGGCUGGUCUCAAACUCCUGGGCUCAAGCAAUCUGCCCACCUCAGCCUCCCAAAGUGCUGAGAUGACAGGCAUGAGCCACUGUCCCUGGCCCAGGGCCUCCUUCUCCUGGACUGCCCUGGCAAGCACUUCUUCCUGUCGCUUUGCCUCCUGAUGUAGCUGCUCCAGCUGAGUCGUGGCUGCCUCCUGCUGGUGACGUGACUGAGGGGAAGAAUGUGCUCAGCCCCAGCCUCCUCAGCUUUCUGCAGCUGAGCCUCCAGACCUACAUUUGGGAGCUGAUCCGUCUUGCUCUCAGUUAGGGCCCAGCCCUUCUGUGGGGACCAGGAAAAUCUUUGCUCACCUGGAGAAGCUGCUGGUUCAGCCCAACUUUAUCUAACGCCAAAGCCUCAUUUAAGGCACUGAGCUUGACAGCUGCAGCCCGAAGAUCAGCUACUUCUGUCUUCAGGGUGUUUUCAGAACUCGACAGCUCUGCAAUUGACUGCUCUGCCUAAAAAACAAAAAGGAUUAAAGAGUUUCAUAUUUCCAAUUUUCCUGGAACAGUAAACAGUUCACAUUCCCAACACUGCUGCUUUUUGGUACAGAGAUCAGUUAAUACUCCAUUCCCUCUCCUGCAUUCUAAACAAGUUUUCCCUUCAUUCAUUCAUUAAGGAGUGAGACAGGACCUCACAGUAUAGAGAUACCAAAGUUAGGAUAGAGAAAUGACUAUGAUUGUAAUGAUGCCACAGAAAAUGUAAGCACAAAGUGCUCUGGGAACUAAAAAAAAUAUUAAUAUAGUUUGGAAGAGUCAAAUAUGCUUGGUAGAGGAGUUGACGAUUAAGUUGUGUACUGAGAGAUGAGGAACAGUUUGCACAUAAAGGAAGAGGAAAGAAGUAGUGCAGAGAAAGGGAAAAGUACACGCAGAGUAUUAGAGUCAUGAAGAACAUGGAAUAACUGAGAAGGCAAUUACUGCUGUGGCAGGAGCAAAGGAUAUGAGGUGUUAGGAUGGGUUUUGCAGUAGAAGGGGAGGCUAAAACACACUUUGAGGCACAUGACAAAAAGCUUUGAAUGUGGCACCACAGAGCUAGAAAGCCGUUGAAUGGUUUUAAGAGACUGACAUAACCAGGUAUAUACUUUAGAAAGCCCAUUCUAAUUCCAAUAUAGAGGGUAUGUUGGAAUAGAGAACCCAGAAGCAGACUAAUGAUUGAGGAAAGAUGAGGGAUCCUGGCUUGAAGGUGAAGAAUGAGGCAGGCUGCAUGGGAACACACUUUCGAAGCCGCCCACCCAGCAAGUGAGGAGAGGAGGCCACGCACCCUAGCCAGCGCUGCGGUCACUUCCGUUUGCUCUUGCCUCAGUAACUCCCCUUCCAGGUGACUUGACUCCAGGGCUUCCCGAAGAGUGAUCAGUUCACUGAGUGAUUCUGACUGUUUGGCUUCCAGGCCCAUCAGCAUCUCCUGACUAAGAUGGGAAAGAGAGGGGUCUAGAGGAACUCUUAGGGAUGGGCCAUAACCCCAAAGGUAACAGGAAUAUAAUCACCUUUGCUAUGCAACAGAAUGAGGAUGGUCUAUAAACACUGAUAAGGAAAGAUUUCUAAGACAUGUCAAGUGAAAAAAAUCAAGGUGCAGAACAGUAUAUACAUGAUACACUACCUUUUAUGCAAGAAAGUGGGGGAAGAAAGAAUAUAUGCCCGUAUUUGCAUGAAGGAGCACUGGCAAGAUAAACAAGAAGUCAGCUAAAAUGGUUGCCUAAAGGGGGAAGGGAAAUGGGAUGGAGAAAGCACAAAUGAGAGUGAGACUUCUCUGUGUAUCUUCUUAGCUCACUGAAGCCUCAAACUCCUGGGGGCUCAUGUGAUCCUCCCAUCUCACCUUGCCAUGGCUACAGGCACAUGCCACCACAUUCAGCUACAGCUAAUUUUUUGUUGUUAGGGGUUGUCUGCCCUUCUCCUUGGUACAGGGAGAUCAUUCUUAGCACAAGUCAUGACCCUUAUGGCAGCCCUUCAAGCUUCCACUAUUCAUGCCUACCAGGUACAAGGAACUGGGGCACAGGAGAGGAGGGAAAUACAGCAAAGAUGAAGAUAUAUCCCUGCUCCCAGUUAUUAAAGACCUACCAUAUGCCAGGUUCUAUGCUGGCGUUUUCCAAAACAUUGCUCUCAUCUUCCCAGCAACCCUUCAAGGUAAAUAUUAUCAUCAUUCUACAAAUAAUCUGUCCAUGUGACAGAGCCAUAAUUUAAACUAAGCUUCUGCCUAGCUCAAAGUCCUUGCUUUUUCUGUGACAUCAUAUAGGGGAAUUUACAGAUUAGCUGGGGCCAUUGAUUCUGGAUUUCCCUUUCUUGACCAGCUAGCACAUUUCCCACUACUUCCCUGUAUAAGUCUUACCCUUUAGCCAGCCCAGCCUACUCUGAACAUGCCAUGAACCUUCCUGCCGCCUUUUCUUUGCUAAUCUGUUCCUUGAGCUCUUCUCCCACUCUCUGCUAACCAAAUAGGUAAAGGCCCAGCUCAAAGUCUACUCUCUCCUCCAUAAAGCAUUUCCUAGUCUUCAAUAAUUAGCUGUCACUCCUGUGCUCCCAAAGGACUUGGUCUGAAACUCUAUUUAACUCAUACUUCAUCCAGCCUCAUGUCACAGUGAGUUGUCUGUCUUCUGGCAAGUUCCCUGAAAUCAGGGCUUUUGUCUUAUUCAUUUCUGUAUCCCCCUCAGUGUCUCAUCCCAUAUGGGUGCUCAACUAAGACUUAACCAACCACGAACUUUCCAUAUUCAUCUUUCUGCAAAGGAAGAAGCAGCAAGCUAAUCUGAACCCACUGCAUGCCAGACUUCUACAUACUCUACUUUGUAACAGAGGGGAGUAGACGGGGAGGGUGUAGAAUUGAAGAAAGACCAGGGCCCAGCGAGGAGGAGACUAGUCUCACUUACAGACGCUCCCUCUCCCGGACAGCCAGGUGCAGCUCCUCCUGCUGUUCCUCCUUCUGGCCCUGGGCAGAGUCCCCCUGCAGCUGAAGCUCCACAUUUACCCUUCGCAGGCGCCAUGCCUCCUGCUCUAGCACCUCCAGCUGCUGCCGCAGCUCUUCCCUGGCCUUCUGCAGCAGCUCUCGCUCCCUGGAAGAAGGGAAUCAGAGAUGAGCAGAGACCAUAGGACCUAAAAUUCUUUCUGGAAGCAGGCAUCACAGGGCCAAGAGACCCUGUUUCAACAUCCCAUCUUCUGUUUCUAGUGCGAAACUUUUUUAUCAUCACAAAGACUCCAACCCCAAAAGCUUGUUCUGGAGAAACAAGUGAAACACUGGGCAAAACAGCCCUGAGUCUCAAGGAGAACAGGAUCAGCACCCCAAAAACCUGAUGGGAGUGGGUAAAUGGCUGGAUGGUGACUGAGACUGAGACCAGGCUGGGAGGGUGGGAUGAACAGCCCGUCUGCUCACUUGCUGAGAGAGUCCACCUCUCCCUGGAGGUCCACAGUCUGCCCUGCCAGAGUGUCCCGCUCCCCAGUGAGCUUCUGCAGCCGCUGUCUCAAGGCUUUGCCCUCUUCCUCCCACUGAUCAUGCUGCUGUUGCAACAAGUUCACAGCCUCUUGACAGCCUGCAAGCUGCUGCCUUAGGUCCUGUGGAGAGAGAGCAAGAGAAACCAGAUGAUGAACAAGGGCAAAGGAGGGAUGUCAGAACCCCGAAAGUGGGGCUGGAGAAGGGGGUCGGGGGCUGGUGCAACAAAAGAAAGCUGAGAAGGGAGAUGCAACUAUUCAAGAAGACAGGCCAUCAGAGGUCAUUGGGCUUCUGUGGCUCUAGAUUCUUAGAGUUCGUCAUCUCCAAAUGUACAGUGGCAUGGGGGAGUGGUAAGUGUGCCUAAGACUCUCAGAGUUGGAGAACGUUGACCCAAUAAUCUCCCAGGGCUCUGGUUCCCAAUCUUUGCAUACUGUUAUGCAAAGAUUGUACACAAAGUGAAGCAUGCCAUUGGCGUGGAGGAUGUGCCUGCUACUCACAAGCACAAUUCAGCAGACAUAGGCAGAUUUACUCUGGGAUAUUGACAGAACACCUCAUGACUGGUCAAAAAAGUGAAAGGGAUAGUCCAGGCUAGGGAGGUACCUGAGGCACAAACCAGUUUAGACACAAACCCCUGUGACUGAGGUGGAAUGCUGAGGGUUCCUACCUGCACAGCCUGGCGUCUCCGAGUCAGCACUGAACGCACCAGAGUAAGAGCCUUGUCUGCAUCCUGGUAAUCAAACUGGGAGAAGAUACUAGAGUCCAAUUCCAAAGAGUUCUCAUGACCAGAGCCUUGGGCUAUAUUGUCCCCUUCUUCCACCAUGACCUGAAACCCAAUACAGCAAGGUCACCACCCUACUGACCAAAGCCUAGAGUCUAUAGAGGGACUUAACCCUAUAGCCUGGACAAACCUGAUGUUUUCCUUCUCAGGUCCUCUCCCCUGGGGGAAGGAGGGGAGUAUCUGAGCAUAAAAGUCUGGUUCCUUCAACUCUCCACCUUUGGUCACCCAAGUCUAGGACUAACAACAAGGCUAGAACACUGUCUGAGGUAACAAUAAAUGAGGAAAUGAAAGAAGAAACGAUUGAGAUAUUGAAUACCAGAAUCUAGCCUCCAGCCUGAGAACUGCAGCUAGAAACAGGAAAGAGGGCCUGUCCCAUCAGGUAGUGCUAAACGUGAAUGCUUAGCUAUCUCUUAGGGUUCUGGUCUUCAAACACACAAAACUCAUCCCCACAAGACUUUAAGCACCCGAACCUCAGAGACUGGAAAUCUAGGCAGGACUGAAAGGACAUGGAGACCUGGGGAGUGGAGGCAUAACCUGGUUACCAUGAACAGGAGGCUUCCCAGUACCUGGGUUAUAUCCUUGAUCACCUGCUGUAAAGACAACUUCUCCUCUUGCGCAUUCCUACUAAGAGAUGCUUCAUGUUCCAUUAAUUCUGUGUGAUUUGUCUCCUGAACAGGGAAUAGAACAGAGCCUCAGAGCCAAACUCUCAAAAGUGAAUUUAUUAUUCCAGGACCCCAAACAACCAAAGUCUCAUUCUGUCUAUUCUAUCAGCCCCACUUUUUCCCUGACCAUAUGUCAAUGCUAAUGUUGUCUGAAGAGUCUGAAGACAAUGUGAUGUGGUGAUUACAAGUUUAGAUUAAGUGAUUACGAGUUCCAAAUUGGACUUCACAGAUUAGAAUUCCUGCUCUAUCACUUACUAGCUUCUAUCACUUACUUCUUUUUCUUUAAAAUAGAAAUAAUUACAGCAACUAGUUGUUUUGAGGCUUAAAUGAAAAAUGCAUGUAAAUUAUUCAAUAUAGUGUCUGGAACAAAGCAAAUGUUCAAUAAAUGUAAACUAUUAUUA